rnacentral:rRNA from 1 species
GAACGGUCCCUCCGGCUUCGGCUGGAACGGAUAGUGGCAGACGGCUGAGUAACACGUAAGUGACCUACCCUGAAGAGGGGGAUAAUCUCGAGAAAUCGGGCCCAAUACCCCGUAAGUUUCCCAUCAACAUGUUGGAGGGAAGGAAAGGUUCUCGAUUCGUCGGGUUCCGCUUUAGGAGGGGCUUGCGACCUAUCAGGUAGUUGGUGGGGUAAUGGCCUACCUAGCCAUAGACGGGUAACCGGUGUGAGAGCAUGAUCGGUCAGAGGGGGACUGAGACACGACCCCCACUCCUACGGGAGGCAGCAGCAGGGAAUCUUGCGCAAUGGGCGAAAGCCUGACGCAGCGACACCGCGUGGGGGAAGAAGGCCUUAGGGUUGUAAACCCCUUUUCUCGGGGAAGAGAACGGACGGUACCCGAGGAAUAAGGUUCGGCUAACUACGUGCCAGCAGCC